GCAAUGUGGUGGAGAAAGAGAAGCUGAUACUACUCAGAGCGCAAAAAAAACGGAGCGAACAGAGCUGUGGGGAUGGAUUUCGCAGGAAAUUGCCAUGUCUGUAAACAGAGAAAAUGAGCUCCGUCGACUCUGGCAAGAAUCGUGUGGUGUGUAUGUGUGUGUGUGCAGAUGGAACCAAUCAGCACGCAGCUCUGGUAUGACAGCAGGCUGUGCGACUCGGUUCACAAUGACAAUCUGUAACAUCAUAGGAGACAUGAUGGCAGUGACAACCCAGAGAUGAUGUAUCACAGACU